AAUGACCCAUUUAAACAUGUCUGCAGAGAUCAAGCUACCUGCUUUAAAUAGCUGCUGGUUUAGAGUGCCUUUAAAUUGCCCCUGGACUUCCAUUAGGUAUAACUGCAUCACCUGACUAAACAAGAAAUAGCAGGAGCCUAAAUGCCACGGUUAAAUGUCCCCAAUCCUCAUUGAAAACCCUCCCUGAGCCUUAUUAUGUUCCUAUCACCUCUUUAUUGGUCUGUUUUUGUUGUGUGAUUGGCUGUUUAAGAAAAAAAAACAAGACAACCCAGUUUAGCAGCUUUAGGUAAGUCAGGGAUAUUAUUGGUGAGUAGAAUUAUGGGUUUAAUUGUGAACCCAGAUGCUAAGUCUAUUCAUGAUCAUGAUACUUGACAUUACUAUAACAUAGGAGGUUCUUAAAAAUAACAGGGCUCUCAAGCAUUUAGUUUGAUCGCACAUUAUCUAGUAUCUCACAUCAUGAGAACAUUGUCUUAAAGGGAUAUUCCGGCGUAAAUUUAAGUUAUGGUCAAACUCACGGCAACACCAAGUUAGACACCCCCUUGAGAGAUGAACGUUGCUGACUGCUUGCUUUUUUCGCUAUACCAACUUCAGCAAAGACUGCACAAUAGCAAUACACAUGGGGGAGCCCCUAUGAGUUGAUCACAGAGUGCAGCAGAGUUUCGCAGUUCAAGGAAGAACAUUUAUGAUUAUUACUUCAUGGAAAUGCAAUCAGACUGAGACGCUGAGGCUUUAUGGAAAUGAUCUGCUGCACUCUGUGAUCGACUUGUCAGGGCUCCCCCCUCAAACAAGCGGCUGCUGGAGGAGAGUGGGUGAGUUGUGUUUGGUCUCUUUGCUAAAGAAAUGUUUGAUGGCUAGUACUAUGGCUGGGACCCUAUAUGUACUGUUGAUGAAGUUAGGUGCUGUUCUGAGCAUUAUUUGUGGCUAUAGAGUGGCGUUUUGGUUGAGCUUUGCGCAUCGAGGACGUAGACCGCUGUGUAUCGCUAUCGUGUGGUCGCUCCUUAAGUUGAUAUAACCAGAAAAGCAAGCAAGUCGGCAACAUUCAUCUCUUGAGGGGGUGUCUAACUCAGUGUUACGGCGUGUUUGACCAUAACUUAAAUUAAUGCUAGACUAUCCCUUUAAAUCAAUCACAGGGUUUGAAAUACAAAGAAGUUCAGCCCCUGAAAAGUUGGGGCUCCUUUACCAUCAGUGUUGCUGAGCAUGGAGAUGAGAGACUGCAGCACUACUAAAUUUGGUGAUUCUCAUUUUCCUUGACCAAUAUCCUGUAGAUUCUCAGCAGGGUUCAGGUCAACCAAGCUCAGUAAUAUAGUCAGCAAAUCAUUUAGUAUAAUUUUGCCACUGUGGGCAGGUGCGAGUUCCUGCUGGAAAAAGAAAUAAGCAUCAUCUCAAAGCUCAUCAGCAGAUGACUGAAUGAAAUGCUCCAAAUGUAUAAAUAUAUGUGGUAAUCCAUGUUGCUUGUGCACUUUUCCCUCCCACACAUUGUCCUCCCACUCAACUUUCCAUUAACAUGCCUCUGCAAACAGCCAGCCUUUGCAGUGAUGAACUGCUGAGGCUCAUCCUUCUUGUGGAGGGUGUCUUUUGAUUGUCUUCUUGACAAUUGUCAGGUCAGGAGUUUUACCCAUAAUUGUGGUUUCAUGUUCAAAAUUAGAUACAUGGCAUCAGUACUGUUUGAAGAGUGAUUUCCUCAAACUUAAAAAUGACACUUUGUUAUAUUUGGAGUAGGGCUGGGCGAUAUGGCCUCAAAUCAAUAUCACGAUAUAUUGAGCAGUUCACCUUGAUAACGAUAAAUUGAUGAUAACUACUCCACAAGCUGCUCACCCCCUCCCACAUUAACUUUGUCUACUUCAGCCGCUACAACUUUUAAACCGUCCCCUAUCUCCUCACCUGUCUUUCCCUCUUUGUUACGGACAACGUCUUUAAGGGACAUGAGACCAUAGCCUACCAACACACAUCCAAAAUCAACUUUUGUUUAUUGACAUUGAAAAUAUUGACAUGGGCAAAAUGAUAUUGUAAAUAUCUGUAAAUUUUCGGUUUAUCGCCUAGCCCUAAUUUGGAGAUAAUUUUGACAUUUUUCAAGCUGUAGGAUAGUGUAAUCAAUGUUUAAAGAGAAGACUGAAAAAAUGAGUGUUUAUUUUAUUGGUCCAGAUUAUAAAAAUUUUUAACUUUCUUUAAUGUUCAUUUUUUUCACGAUAUUCUAACUUGUUUAGAUGCACCUGUAUAUAUGACAUUACUGGACUGCUGUUCAUCAGUGUGUAGGGAACAUAAAAUGCAUUACACUGAAGAGGAGUUUAAAGAAAUCAGAGGGGGGUAGUACAAGGGAAGAAAUGUGAAACCCUGAAGAGGGGAAAUGUCUCCUUGGUUGAACUACAGAUUCUUCAGAAAUAGGAUCUGAAAUUUGACAGAGGCCACAAAACCAAAAAAAGAUGAUAAAGACCAGGACAGACUAAGCUUGCAUUGUUUGCUUGAAGUUUGUCAUAUUUUUAAACAAGCCAAAGAGGUAAGACUCAAGUCAAUUACAAAUACCUCAACACUGAAACCGACUGAAUGUCGCUAAUACUUCGUUUUUACACCCUGAGUACAAAAACGAAGUAUUAGUGAGUUGUGAAUAAUUACGAUAGCAGAGGGCAGACUUUCUGUUACAAUAGAGCAUGUUCUGUGUUUUCAGCUGCAGAUGACUCAAACUCUGUGAAGUACUUUUUAAAAAUAUUUGGACCCAUUUCUCGGCUUCAGGCUGCCACAUUUGGGAUUAACAGAUGCCACUCUUCGCUGGAAUGAGAUUGGCCUGCGGGUCUAUUCAGACAACACACAGGUGCAUAAUGGCAAAGUAAAAGUGAUGGAAGAAAAGUGAUGGUUUGUGAAGAGCCAUGUCCUCAUUAUAAUUGGGCAAUUUGUAGCUGUUGUAGGAUUAUUUUAUUUUUUUCUUAAACCAGUGUCCCUUGAUUAAAUUGUGCUCGGCGUGCUGUAAGUGCACUCGGGCUGUUUAUUUGUGUGUGCAACGGUUUUUCCUCUGCCGCUGAAGAGCCGUGGUAAUCCCUCCUUUAUUCUAAGAGGUUAUUCUCCGCUUGCUCCUGCCUCUGUCCGUUAAGAUUAACGGUUCCUGGAGAGACUUCCAUUUGACUCUCAUUAUUAGACUUGUGUGACCUUUCUGUGGUCUGCACCUCUGAGCACGUCUCCCCCUCCUCAGGUGAAGAUGGUGUGCGUCGGUGUCAAUCAUUCUUAAAACCAAAGACAGUCUAAGAUGGCAGUUCAAUGGCAGAUAAUCCUGAGUGAGAAGUUUGAAUAAUGUGUGUGUGAGUGUGUUUGAUUGUGUGUGUGUGUGUGUGUGCGCUGAGUUCGAACCAGCAU
rnacentral:lncRNA from 1 species